rnacentral:lncRNA from 1 species
CUGUUAGUGACCUUUGCCAACAAAGCCGACAAGGUCUAUAGCAUUUUACCCCAUGGUGUGAUCUAUGACAAGGCAUCUGAUGCAGCCCCAAACCUAGAUGAUUUGUGAAACCAGGGGCGCAUGUUAAACCAGGUGAAACCUUCACAUACAAGUGGACAGUGCCUGAGAGCGUAAGCCCAACUGCUGGUGAUCCUCCCUGUCUGACCUAUCUUUACUUCUCAGCAGUUGAUCCAAUUAAGGACACCAGCUCUGGCCUGGUAGGGCCUUUGCUAG